rnacentral:rRNA from 1 species
UACGGAGGGUGCGAGCGUUGUCCGGAAUCAUUGGGCGUAAAGGGCGCGUAGGUGGCCCGGUCAGUUCGUGGUGAAAGCGCGGGGCUCAACUCCGCGUCGGCCAUGAAUACUGCUGGGCUUGAGCACUGUAGAGGCAGGCGGAAUUCCGGGUGUAGCGGUGGAAUGCGUAGAGAUCCGGAAGAACACCGGUGGCGAAGGCGGCCUGCUGGGCAGUGGCUGACACUGAGGCGCGACAGCGUGGGGAGCA